rnacentral:tRNA from 1 species
GCUUGAAUAGCUCAGUAGGUAGAGCAGCGUACUUGUAAUACGAAGGUCGUGGGUUCAAUUCCUGCUUCAAGCA